rnacentral:tRNA from 1 species
GGAGGCGUUCGGGCAGCUGGUGCUCCCCACGGUCUUCAAAACCGAUGUGGCCCGGGAUCCGGGUCAGGCGGGUUCGAUUCCCGUCCGCCUCCGCCA